rnacentral:rRNA from 1 species
GAUGAACGCUGGCGGCGUGCCUAAUACAUGCAAGUCGAGCGAACGGACGAGAAGCUUGCUUUUCUGAUGUUAGCGGCGGACGGGUGAGUAACACGUGGAUAACCUACCUAUAAGACUGGGAUAACUUCGGGAAACCGGAGCUAAUACCGGAUAAUAUUUUGAACCGCAUGGUUCAAAAGUGAAAGACGGUCUUGCUGUCACUUAUAGAGGGAUCCGCGCUGCAUUAGCUAGUUGGUAAGGUAACGGCUUACCAAGGCAACGAUGCAUAGCCGACCUGAGAGGGUGAUCGGCCACACUGGAACUGAGACACGGUCCAGACUCCUACGGGAGGCAGCAGUAGGGAAUCUUCCGCAAUGGGCGAAAGCCUGACGGAGCAACGCCGCGUGAGUGAUGAAGGUCUUCGGAUCGUAAAACUCUGUUAUUAGGGAAGAACAUAUGUGUAAGUAACUGUGCACAUCUUGACGGUACCUAAUCAGAAAGCCACGGCUAACUACGUG